rnacentral:rRNA from 1 species
GUUAGGAAUAUUGGACAAUGGGCGCAAGCCUGAUCCAGCCAUGCCGCGUGUGUGAAGAAGGUCUUCGGAUUGUAAAGCACUUUAAGUUGGGAGGAAGGGCAGUAAGUUAAUACCUUGCUGUUUUGACGUUACCGACAGAAUAAGCACCGGCUAACUUCGUGCCAGCAGCCGCGGUAAUACAGAGGGUGCAAGCGUUAAUCGGAAUUACUGGGCGUAAAGCGCGCGUAGGUGGUUCGUUAAGUUGGAUGUGAAAUCCCCGGGCUCAACCUGGGAACUGCAUCCAAAACUGGCGAGCUAGAGUAGGGCAGAGGGUGGUGGAAUUUCCUGUGUAGCGGUGAAAUGCGUAGAUAUAGGAAGGAACACCAGUGGCGAAGGCGACCACCUGGGCUCAUACUGACACUGAGGUGCGAAAGCGUGGGGAGCAAACAGGAUUAGAAACCCGGGUAGUCC